AAUGGGGGUGAUAAUAAAACAGGGGGAAAACCCGUCCGAGGGAAGCUGAAUGGAUGGAGCCAGAGAGACGUCACGGCCAGCCGCAGCCAUGAAGACCGAGCGGUCCAGCCUCCGGCAACUCACUUGGUCUCCAUCUCCAGAGCCGCUCGCUUCGCGCUUUUGGAGAGCGGACGCCGCAGCGACUCGCAGGCGACGGCGGAUCCCUGGAGAGACAUUCAGCGGCCUCACAACACUUGGCUUGUAGGUCAGAACUUGGGCCAUGUCGCUUCGACUGCAGCUUGAGAGGAUGGGUAGCCUUAGGGGUUGGUUGUUAUCUUUGGUUAUCUAGCUGUAUGAGUGAUGUACAUUCUUCAUAAAGCUAGAUAACCGAAAGUAACAAGAAUCCCAUUACACUCCUGAAAAGGCAUCAAGACCCCAAACGCAUCUCCCUCCAAAUAAAAGAGCACAAACUCUGCCAGAAGAACUGUAAAAAGGAACAAGAAAAUGGACAUUUUAAAGAAGAUGGAGCUCAGUGCAUCAAAAAGGCUACCACACCAAUGAAGGAAAGCUGGCAAAAGAAUACUGAAAAACAGAGAAGAAGGAGGAGGAGGGGUUGCUGUUGAUUCUGCCCUCCCUCUCUCCUCGCCCUCCUCUGCAUCGCCUCUUCCCUCCUCCUCCUCUUCCCUUCCUCCUCCACUCCAUCCUCAGCAGACUGCCCCUUUUUCCUGUACAGCGAAACGCAGCCCGCGCCACCAUCUUAGAGCAACGCUGGCAUGAAAUGGAAGUGGGAAGACCACUCAGUGCAGAUAAAUGCUUGUGCUGAGGCAUCCGGAGUGGACUGAACACACGACGGGGGGGACAGCGGGACUCCUUCAUUGGCCGUUUGCUGCCUCUCAGCUGGAGUAAACAAGGAUGACAGUGUUGCUGUCUGAGUCCGUGGUGAUUCCCAUCGUGACUGUGGAGCACUCUUCAUACCUCUCGAUGUUGCUGAUUGAUGCAUUAUUUCGACAGUCGACCUGGACUGUUUGUCAAACGCCUUUUGGUGUUUUUAGCUGAAGAAACGUCAUCGUGGACUGUGAUUGUGAUAACCCGUGGGCUCGGACAGAAGAUCAGCAGCUCCGGGGGUGGACGAUCUAGUCCAUAAUUGUGACUUUUUUUUGGAGAAUGUAAAACUGAAUUUUGUAAUUAUUAUCUUGUAUAUUUUCCUAUAAACAAUUCUACUUAGACAUGAAGCAAUAUUAUGUGUCUUCAACUAACAUAGGCUCCACUUACUUUAGGUUGUAUUUGAUGAGUUGUAGCCCACCUUUUGUUCAGUUUCUGUUCGGUUAUAGUUGCUAGGACUCAAAAGACACGUGAAUGUGAGACCCACGGCAGCAGUGAAUAAUACUGCACUGCGAUUGGACAGCUCCAUGUGUCGGCUGACACAAUGGCGAAGGAGUGAGCUGUCGUCUUUAUACUCUAUGCAACUGUUUUUUUGUUCCUUCUUUCUUUUUGUCUUGGGCGUAGCCCCUCUCAUCCUUACAUUGGAUUUUGUUUUUGGGUUACCACUUUAUUGACAUUCCUUCAGACAUCAUGAAAAGAAAUGGUUUUUGAGGAGCCUACAUUCCCGUUGUUAAUAUACUGAAACACAAAUCGUGUGCGAGCGUGUGACAGAUGACAGAAUACAGCUCAGUGUCAUCAGUGGAUGGAUUGAAUCUCAUAUUUGCAGCCUUGACACACUUUGAUUUGCCUGUGCAGCCAUGAGCCAUUGUCUGACUUAAUAUUCCUAAUAGCAGGAGUGUGUUUGAUCAGCAGGAUGGAGUUCAUGGCUGCAUGUAUACAGAACAGGCCACACUAUUAAAACCUGCUUCCCAGCAGGCUCAGAAGCACAGCAGUUUGCUUCAUAACAGUUACCUGCUUCAGUGUAAUGAUACAUCAUUGGGUGAGACAUGACAAAUACAUUGGCUUCAAACACUGCCUUAAUUUCCUGUUCUUGACAUUAAAACACACACACACACACACACACACACACACACACACACACACACACACCCAAAUGCAAUAAGGCAAGUACUAUCGCAGCCUAAUUCAUUCUAUAUUAAUUUUCGGGAAGUGGCAAAUUUUUUAUUACGAUUGAUAAUCUAUGCAAAUCUUUUAAAUAUUACUUUAAACAAUCUAUGUCUAUGCAGUGCUUUUGCAAUUGAUUCAAGGGAGACUAUCUAGGCCUAAUUUAGAAAAUGUAUUCUUUUGAUAAUCAUGCACAUCCCAGUGCUCAAGACAAUUACUUAUCUGCCUGGAUAAGCUUGAAAUUAUGUUUUUAAUCUCUAGCAAAAAAAAAAAAAAAGCACUCUUCUGGUAUCAGUCCAGAGGCAUGAAAACCAUGAAUUGUGGUCUAAAAUAAUUAAAUCAGUUGCACUAAAUCUCUUUUUUCCUUAAAUGCAGAUCAAACAUAUCUAUUCAGCUCUGCCUUGCAUUGCUUAUUGUUUUAUAGAAGCAGCAAUGUUUGUGUUAUGCAAUCUAAGAGCUGUGAAUGAGUGUUCACCACAUGUGCCUUUAUAUGAAAAACUGUGUUGGAAUAGUAAUAAAGGUUUACAUUGAAAACAA